rnacentral:misc_RNA from 1 species
CAGAGUUGUAAAAACUCCCUAAACCCUUUGUUGAAUCAUACCUAUUCUUGUUCCUUCGGUCAGGCGGUCCCCUAGGGCGGGGCCCUCUAGCCCUUGCUCCGCAGGUGCCUGCCGCUAGAACGCCCAAAAAACUCUGUUACUGUAGGUAUUACCUUCUGAGUCUAAAUACAAAAUAAGAUAA